rnacentral:rRNA from 1 species
UACGUAGGGUGCGAGCGUUGUCCGGAAUUAUUGGGCGUAAAGAGCUCGUAGGCGGCCUGUCGCGUCGGUUGUGAAAGCCCGGGGCUUAACCCCGGGUCUGCAGUCGAUACGGGCAGGCUAGAGUUCAGUAGGGGAGAUCGGAAUUCCUGGUGUAGCGGUGAAAUGCGCAGAUAUCAGGAGGAACACCGGUGGCGAAGGCGGAUCUCUGGGCCGAUACUGACGCUGAGGAGCGAAAGCGUGGGGAGCGAACAGG